ACACACACACACACACACACAGUAUAACACACACACACACACACAGUAUAACACACACACACACACACACACAGUAUAACACACACACACACACAACAUAUAACACACACACACACACACAGUAUAACACACACACACACAGUAUAACACACACACACACACACAGUAUAACACACACACACAGUAUAACACACACACACACACAGUAUAACACACACACACACACACACACACAGUAUAACACACACACACACACACAGUAUAACACACACACACACACACACACACACAGUAUAACACACACACACACACACAGUAUAACACACACACACACACACACAGUAUAACACACACACACACACACACAGUAUAAACACACACACACACAGUAUAACACGCACACACACACACACACAGUAUAACACACGCACACACACACACACACAGUAUAACACACACACACAGUAUAACACACACACAUUAACACACACACACACACACAGUAUAACACACACACACAGUAUAACACACACAGUAUAACACACGCACACACACACACACGCAACACACACACAGUAUAACACACGCACACACACACACACGCAACACACACACAGUAUAACACACACACGCAACACACACACAGUAUAACACACGCACACACACACACGCAACACACACAGUAUAACACACACACACACACAGUAUACACACACACACACACACACACACACAGUAUAACACACACACACACACAGUAUAACACACACACAGUAUAACACACACACACACA
ensembl:lncRNA